rnacentral:rRNA from 1 species
UACGGGGGGGGCAAGCGUUGUUCGGAAUUACUGGGCGUAAAGGGCUCGUAGGCGGCCAACUAAGUCAGACGUGAAAUCCCCCGGCUUAACCAGGGAACUGCGUCUGAUACUGGAUGGCUUGAGUUUGGGAGAGGGAUGCGGAAUUCCAGGUGUAGCGGUGAAAUGCGUAGAUAUCUGGAGGAACACCCGUGGCGAAGGCGGCUCUCUGGUACGUGACUGACGCUGAGACGCGAAAGCGUGGGGAGCAAACAGG